UUGAACGCUGGCGGAAUGCUUUACACAUGCAAGUCGAACGGCAGCACGGGGGCAACCCUGGUGGCGAGUGGCGAACGGGUGAGUAAUGUAUCGGAACGUACCCAGUCGUGGGGGAUAACUAUCCGAAAGGAUAGCUAAUACCGCAUAUGCCCUGAGGGGGAAAGGGGGGGAUCGCAAGACCUCUCGCUUUCGGAGUGGCCGAUAUCGGAUUAGCUAGUUGGUGAGGUAAAGGCUCACCAAGGCGACGAUCCGUAGCUGGUCUGAGAGGACGACCAGCCACACUGGGACUGAGACACGGCCCAGACUCCUACGGGAGGCAGCAGUGGGGAAUUUUGGACAAUGGGGGCAACCCUGAUCCAGCCAUGCCGCGUGAGUGAAGAAGGCCUUCGGGUUGUAAAGCUCUUUCAGACGGAAAGAAACGGUCACGGCGAAUACCCGUGACUAAUGACGGUACCGUAAGAAGAAGCACCGGCUAACUACGU
rnacentral:rRNA from 1 species